GAGGGCCCAAAACUUGGUUUCAUCUCCAACGCAACAGUGAGAUGGUUUGAUUACAAAGUCCAAAAGAACACAGGAAGGAAAAUGAGAAUGAGAUAGUUGGAAAUGAAAAAUGAACAUAGUGUUGUUUCUUCGUGGUUUUCCUGUUGUAAUCAUAUGGACCUCUCAUUUAAUUUAAUGAUUACGUUUGUUUGUUUGCAGGAUGCAAGGGGAAAUGAUGUUAAUCAAAGGAAAGGUCCUUCUCAUUGUAAAUGUUGUCUCACAAUGGCUGCGGCUUCACUAAUUCAAACUACAGAGAGCUGAAUCAAUUGUAUGAGCAAUAGAAAGGAAAAGGACUUGAAAUUCCGGCAUUCCCAUGCAAUCAGUUUGGGGUUCAGGAGCCAGGAACUAAAGAAGAGAUGGUGGAGUUUGCUUGUACUCGGUUCAAAGCUGCGUUUCCCAUUUCACUGAUUUCAUUCUUAGAUCUUUUUGAUACAAGUCAAAAUUAGGUCCCAAUUUAUGCAAGAUACCAAACUCAUUCUUCUGUGGUCUGUGGACGAACAUCAUCGAUUUCCUUCUCGUCUAAACUCAUGAUGUUCUUCUGCUUCUUUUGAAAUAUCAACUUCUAGAGUCUAUUUUUUGGCUCUAGGCCUAACCCUGUUAAUAAAAUGUGUGGGAAGCCUAAUAAAUGAACAAUUUUGAACAUUCUGAAUUUUUUAAUGAUGUUAAUUUGGGUAGGCAUAAGGUUCGUUACGACAUAUACAAUGGUUUUGCUUAUCUCAUUCUUACUCACUGCUCAAACGUGAACCAAACUUGCUAGUUCUUCCUCGUAAUAAAUGUCAUAUGAAGCCG